rnacentral:rRNA from 1 species
GACGAACGCUGGCGGCGUGCUUAACACAUGCAAGUCGAACGGAAAGGCCCCUUUGGGGGUACUCGAGUGGCGAACGGGUGAGUAACACGUGAGUAACCUGCCCUUGACUUCGGGAUAACUUCAGGAAACUGGGGCUAAUACCGGAUAGGAAUCCUUGCUGCAUGGUGGGGGUUGGAAAGCUUCGGCGGUUUUGGAUGGACUCGCGGCUUAUCAGCUUGUUGGUGGGGUAGUGGCUUACCAAGGCUUUGACGGGUAGCCGGCCUGAGAGGGCGACCGGCCACAUUGGGACUGAGAUACGGCCCAGACUCCUACGGGAGGCAGCAGUGGGGAAUAUUGCACAAUGGCGGAAGCCUGAUGCAGCAACGCCGCGUGCGGGAUGACGGCCUUCGGGUUGUAAACCGCUUUCAGCAGGGGCGAAGCUUGUGGUGACGGUACCUGCAGAAGAAGCACCGGCUAACUACGUG